ACUCCUACGGGAGGCAGCAGUAGGGAAUCUUCCACAAUGGACGCAAGUCUGAUGGAGCAACGCCGCGUGAGUGAAGAAGGUUUUCGGAUCGUAAAACUCUGUUGUUAGAGAAGAACGUGUGUGAGAGUAACUGUUCAUGCAGUGACGGUAUCUAACCAGAAAGCCACGGCUAACUACGUGCCAGCAGCCGCGGUAAU
rnacentral:rRNA from 1 species